CACGCCCUAAACGAUGUCUACUAGUUGUCGGGUCUUAAUUGACUUGGUAACGCAGCUAACGCGUGAAGUAGACCGCCUGGGGAGUNACGCGAAAAACCUUACCUACCCUUGACAUGUCAGGAACCUCCGAGAGAUUGGAGGGUGCUCGAAAGAGAGCCUGAACACAGGUGC
rnacentral:rRNA from 1 species